rnacentral:lncRNA from 1 species
CACGCAGCGCGAACUUGUUAAAGCGCUUGGCUGGCCACGUGGCUUCCUCUGUCACUGCCAAGUCUGAGGGGAGUCCCUCAGUGGGGAACAUCGUUUCCAGAAGGACUCGAGCCACAGAAGAGGUGGUAGCCGAUCGGCCGUGGGAAGCUCCGGUCCAUUGUGAGAACACGGACUCACACACGCUUACGUUCACGCUGCAGAGAAGUGCGUGAAUCCACCCGCCAGACCUCGGAUUCUCCUUUAAGGAGUUUAACGUGUCUGGGAGCAGUACAAGCAGGCUUCCCUGGUUUGUACUUCAGACAAGUGGGACAGUGAGGGAGGUGCUUUUUGUUUGCUAAUGUUCCUGCGCCGGUACUGACUCACGAAGGCUGUCGUUUUGUCUGUAGACCAGGGGUUUCUUGCAUGUCCCCUAGAGAGGAGGGGGAUUGUAGAAUUUCUGGUGGGACUAGAUUGUUACUUGGUCUGAACCACAGCGCGCUUUCUUUAUCAAACCAGUAAGUACUGGAUUUCCAAGCUUGUUUUUCCUUUCCUGAGGCCGGUUUUUGUGCUUCUCUAGCCAGUUUUUUAAAGUUAUCCUUUGGGGGAAAUCUCCCUUUGGACCAUGACAGAACAUUCCUUUAGCUGCUGUUGGUUCCUUUAAGGGCGUGAUUCUUGCAGAAAGUUCAGCAAGGUGAUUUACCUUAUCUUCCAGAGAGUCAAGUUUAGAAUGCCCUGGAAUCUUAGAAGUAACUCAAGGGUAGGUGAGAGUAUUGCAUCCAAUAAUCCUGAACAUUGGGGCCAUUUUAAAUUUUAUUUCUGCUGGAAGUGGGGAAGCCGUGUUGCUUCCACAACAUUCCAAAGUAAUGAGCUAUUCCGAAAACAUGUCUACAAUCAACAUAAGUAUUGGCAGUUUUGCCCUUGGCUAAAGUAUAAGCCUGUGUAAGAGCAUAUCAUUCAACCCCUUGGGCCAAAAAAAGCCAUAGGUAGAGAUGCCGCCUCAGUAACAUCAAAAGAAGUUGCAGUAAUAGAUCCAUAAGUAUCUGCCGUUGUUCUCUUUUACAUAAGAAUCAUCAAUGAACAUGAGUUUCCUAGAGAUCACCAGACGUCAGGAGGUGGUCCUGCAGGGUUAAGCAGCUGCAAGGGCCUUAGUGGGGUAGCAAGGUUCAAGUCCUCACAGCGUAAAAGAAUUAGGUGAAGAGUCACUAGCAAAAGGGCUCCCAGGAGGUGAGGCAGCUGACAGAAGUGUUGAGUGUGAUGAGAAUGCAGGAGGGCUAUUGCAUGAGGUGCGGAAGUGAUUGAAGGCGAUCCCACAAUGCUGUUCUCAGUGGCCUUAACUGCAGGGGCAGUGGCCGUGAUGGCUGAAGGCAGGAGAGGUAUUCUGUGCUACAGAGUCCCAUUGCUGUUGCUGGCCGUAAUACCCCAUGGGCCGAUGGUGGUCCCCGUGUUGGGGUGAGUCUCCUCAGAGCAUUCCCUGCCUUUUCAUACACACAAAGGGAAUCUGAUCACUGGGAUGCCCAAGGGCAGGUGAGUUCGUUAAACUCCUUUAAGUCUUUAAAAGCUAUGUCAUCAGGAGUUCCCUGGUGGCCUAGUGGGUUGAGGAAAAGGCGUUGUCCUUGCUGUGGUGUACAUUCAAUCCGUGGCCUGGGAACUUCUACAUGCUGCAGGUAUGGGGAAAAAACAAAAAACUUUGACAUUUGGUUCUUCCCAUAAAAUUGGGCCAGAGUUGUUCAAUAAAAUAUAUAAAGCUUGGCCAUAAGAGAGAAAUUUGGAAGCUAAUUUUGGCAAUAACCAACUAGCCCGAGAAAACCUCAGCACAGGAAACCUCGGACGCCGUGAGGUUCGGAUCUAGGUGUAGCCCUGGUGCUGAUAUCAGAUACCCUUAAUAAUGAACCUGGGUAUGGGCAGACCGCAACUUAUCCUCACUCCUUAGGGCCCUUUAAGGCUAGAGGCUUAAGCAGGUGCAUGACGACUCCCUCUGAGGAGGUUUGAGAAGCAAGUCAUUCACACCUUACAACAAAGUGUAGCCUCCAGGGAGCUGUACAUCAUCCAGAUCGGCCUUCGGAUUUGUGAGAAGUAAGGACUCAGUAAAACCCUGAGGCACUAACUGUCCAGGAGAAGUUCUCCUUCUCAAGUGAGGGCGGAAAGGCACUGGCUAGUCUCCUCAACUGGAAUACUAAGGAAUGCACUGCACAAGUCCGUCACUGCAAAGAAUCUACUUCCUGUGGGAAUGGCUGUUAGCGUCAAGAGAAGCAGCAGGUGUUUGUUGCUUGGAGGUCCCGGACCUUUCAGUUUUGUCCCCUGUGUGACGGGAGUAUACGGGCGCUAGUCCAAGGGAUAGUGAGGCCUUGAACCUUGUAAUCUGAGUUAUGGGCUUUAUGUCUUGGAUGAAUGGCUUCUUAUACGUUGAUUAAUUCUGGGAAAAGCUUUCGAGGAAUCUGUUUGUAUGUUGAUGGGAAGUGCACAAUGAAUUGUGCCCAUAUCCAUUGAUUUUCUUCUAUAAGGAGGGUGGUAACUGAUUUAGGGACAAAUGAUCUGUUUCCAGAAUCAGCUGUAGUAUCAUCAGAGAUGGAGCAAAUCAGAGAUGUCAAAAGGUCACUGAAUUCAUCUGCCAGGUUACUUUGACUACUGAAAAUUCUGGAAUUAUUUCUCCCGUUUGGGAGAAAGAAAUUCUGGCACCAUACUUCUCUGAGAAGUCUCAGCCUGAGGCAUGGAGAGAGGUUGAGGAACUGAGGAGAAAAGAGCGUGUGACAUCUCGAAGGGCCUAAAUAGAAUGGAACAGGUUCAGAGACAGGAGCCUCUUAAAGUUCCCGGGAGAGCCCCCCUCUCUGAACUGGUUACCCUGAGCCAGGGGCUGCUUUGUAGUAGUGAGGCUGAGCCUUGAGAGUGGCUGCAGUGUCAGCUAGGACUAGAGGUGAUUCGCCCCCAAUCUGGAGAAAUGUUUCUCUAAGCCAGUGAAGAGGGAGGAUUGAAGAACCCCUGUAGGUCCUUGGAGCCCCAUCAUGGAGAACUGAGAAGACAUUGGCAAGGCUGGUUGGAAGGCUGAAGGUGCCUGAAGCGCUUCAGUUUAUCACAACCUCUUUCCCAAAGUCCUGGCUCUUUGCAAUAACAGCAGAAGCUAGGAGGGUUUGGGUUUCAUUUAGGAGCCUUCAUUGGCUGGAUUAGAAGAGAAAGAAUUUUAGCCACCCCCCCCCCCACCUAUUAUUUUCAUUUUAAGUUUUUAAUGAAAGUUCUAUACAAGAUUAUUUUAUUCCUGCAUCUUUUCAAUUGUUUCUUCCUUAUAUUUGCCUUUUCCUUUCCUGCUUGGCGAGAUGUGGCAUUUGUCUUUUUGUGAUCCUUGUCCAGUUUUAGUCUGGUGGUCACCAACCACCCCGCGGGGGUGAAUGCCCACAUGGACGGUUGUGCCAUGAGCCUUCUCCCACUGCACUCAUUCAGUGUAGAUGACGCGGUUUCUCCAGUCAGCCUGGACUUUGCCAGCCUGCUGCCCUUCGUAGUGCCCUCGUACAACCUGAACGUCAUCGUCCUUUCGGAUGGGCAUGGAUCAGACGUUGUACUUGUGUCUCAGCUCUUUGGAAAGACAUAAUCUUCCUGCGAAUGUGGGAGGUGCAUUGAAAUGCCUUUUACGGUUCUUGCUUCAAUCAGAGGUCACAAGGGAUUGAACCUCAUUUUGGCCACUGGCGCUUCAGCGGUGGCCCCGAAAGGGAAGAGCCAUUUCCCUUUUAGGUGCCUCGCCUGGAGUGUGAGAGCUGUUUUGCCAGAUUAAUUAAACCUGGGGUGGGCGGAGUUUCCCAUUUCAUCCUGGUCCUUUUUUGCUAGAAGGGAAGGGUCUUGCUUCCGCCUCCUCAUACACAUAGAGUUAAAAGCUGUCUGGGUAGAAUUAACACCUGAAGGAAGACCAGAAUUUUCUUUAAAAAUCUGAAAUCGGUUAUAAUAAUCAUGGGCACAUUCAUUAAGUUUUUGUGUGGAAACCUGUAUUUUGUUCCAAUCAACAGGCUUUGGAAAAGCUGUAGGAAUUGCCCCAUGAAGUUGCCUAGCAGUUGCCUGAGCCUGAUCCUAUAUUAAGUUAACAGGCUGGAGGCCUUUCAGGAUUUCCCCAGUUAGUGGUUUUCAUCCAGUGCUGGCCUGGCCUUCACCAUCAAGCAUAGGAACUAGCUGAUAGAAGUCAGACAAACCAGUUUCUGAGUUUGAAUGACUGUAUUAAAUUCCUCAGCACAUCUGUGAGGAUCUUUGGUUACUUUGGAAAAAUCUUUGUCUGUGGCUCACAGUUCAGCUUUCAUCCAGGGGAUAUACAAAAUUAAGGUUUUAGUUUCUUUAGGAUCCUCAGAAGGCUUAAAUUUAAAGAGACAGGCUCUGAUAGGUUCAGAGGAAAAGUGGGGAGAGUUUGAGAGAAAAAAGGAAAUUCAGAGAGAGGAUUAGUGUAGGGGAACUGGGGGCUCUAGAGCAGGUGUAGGUGGGGUGGGGUAGAAGAGGGAGAUGGCCCAGAGGUGGGCAUCAGCACGUGGGGCUCAGGGAAAGACAGGAUGGUGUGGGAGGCGAACCGGAGACAAGCUGAGGAGGAAGAGCCUGAGGCUCUGGGAACCACAUCAUCUUUUAAGUCAUUUGUUUGCCCCAGUCUCCAAGUCUUAUUUUGCAUAAAAUCAAUUUUAGGCUGCUGAUCAUGUUUGGAAGCCUCAAGCUACCAAUCCAAAUAGGCAUUCCAUUCAGUUAGGGAAAUUUUAGGGCUCUGGUUGUCCACUUUGGUCUUAAGAAAAAUAGGUUUGAACAGUUAAAAAAUUCCCCAUCAUGGCCAUUGACAUGCUAAAUUGCCUUUGGUUAGGCUGGUCCAUUUGGUUAGAAAUUCUCAGAAGGAAUGACUGCAGUUUUUCAACAUAAUAUCGGCCAGAGUCCCUGUGGUGGGGAGGUGCCCUCAAAAUAUUUAGGUAACUGGGAUCUCAUUUCUCAGAGGUCUUUCUCUAAGAGAAUUUUUAAAAAGCCUAAACAGCUCAAGCAGCUUACAGCUUAAACAGCUUAUAGCUCAAACAGUUCAAAUAUCUCAAACAGCCUGCUGGCCUAACACCAGCCAGUUCUAAAGGAACAGGUUGGUCCUAGCAGAGCCAGCAGAUGGCAUCUCAGCAGUGUUCCCAUAGAACAACCCCUAUUCCAAAGGAAUGGCCUGAAGGCUGAACUGGCACAGUUCCAAUGAAAUAUAGCCUCUGUUCCCAAAGGAAUGGGCUGAAGGCUAGCCGGCUCCAAUUGGAGCAGUCUGAUUUCAAAAUGAGACUGAAAUUCCAAAUGAGUACUCAAGUACAGAACAGGGCCUUAACCAGAAAGGAUAAAAAAUAGAUCCCAGCUAAAGCUUGGGAGAUGCCAGCUAAAGCUUGGAGAGAUUCAAAAUGCAGAGGGUGGAGGCUCAGACCCAGGAGAAAGAAAUACUUUUGAAUUCCAGGAUCAAUGAGGAAAUCAGUGAGCAGCAGUGGCCUUUCAUGCGCACUGCACCUGUUCACUUACCAGCCUGUUGGGGGUCUCCUCUGGAUCCCUGUGCAAGUCACCAAAGUGUUGGAAUAAAAAAACUGCCAGUUAUUUCUUCCACAAAAAUGGGUUUAUUUGAGAUCAGCAGAGAACUGCAAUUCACAGUCUGCCAUCAUGGCGAGCCACAUGCAAGUCCCCACGUGGCAAGGGAAGCAGGGGGCAGGGGGACCGUAGGACACAGAGUCCACGUUUUUUUCAUUGGCUGAGUUGUUGCCAGGAUAGAGAAUGUUUCUUCUUCCUGUUGGGCUCUGCUGUGGCUGCAGGGCAUAAGAGCUCCCCCUUCUGGUCUCCCCACUCUUAAUUGAGUGUUUUGUUUAUUAACUUUUUACAGAGCUCUCCUAGCUCUGUGGUCCUGGGCCAGAGGUCUCUGGCUCCUCUCCUGUGAGUAAGAACUGAAUGGAGCUUUGUUUCUGGGCUUGUUACUGAGCCUGGGUAGAUGGCAAGGGCUUUGCACAAUAUGUCCAAUUCGACUUCUAGCCCUGGGGUCUCUGAGCUCAGAGGUGGAGUCUGGGUCUUGCCUGCUAGGAGUCUUUGCGGGGGCACUAAAGGGUGUUCCAGGGGCAUCUGGAGCCAGAGGUAGCCGAGGAGUAGGGAGGUGGGAGAAAGAGGACCUCCAGUGCUGACCUACCACCUCCUGCUGGGUUAGGCCCACAUCUCCCAACCAGACUGCCUGUCUCUGCCUUUUUGCCUUUAAGUCUGGUUUCAAAAGUCUGAAAAGCAGGUCACAUGGUAUCUGUCACUCCUGGCUCAAAGCCAUCCAGCAGUUCCCCACACCUCAGUAAAGCCAAAGUCCUCACCAUGGCCCCCAGGGCCCUAGCAUUUCUGUUUUCACCCAUGCCCCCACUGGCCUUAGCUCCUACACUGCCCACCCUGAACCCCGCCCCAAACCCUACUGCCCUGUGAUAAGCCGGGUGCAUACCUUCGUCACUGCUCUCCCACUUGAACUGUCCCAGAUACCCUCACCCUCCUCCUGAGUGGGGCUGGCUGCAUGGUAUCCUCUGCUCCUCAAAUCUCCAGGUGUGCUCUCGCCUUAGGGCAUUUGGCUUUGCUGUACCAUCCACCAAAGUUACUCUUCCCACUCGAAAAUUUCUUUGUCAGGUGUGGACUUUCCUGGCCAAUCGCCACAUAAAAACUGUAUUUUUAAAAUUAACACACAGUAGAAUGGACUCUUCUGGUGCACAGGUUUAUCACACCUUUAGGCCCAUUCAUCUCCAUCAAAAUCAGGACAGCUGCUCAUCUGUUUUAUUGUGAUCAUAAGCUCUCCCAUUACAAAUCCAUGCAUCUGAUAUUUCAGUGUCCCUAGAGUUUUGCCUUCUCCAAGUGUCAUAUAAGUGGAGCCAGACCAUACGUAACCUUUUGAGUCUGGUCUCUCUUAUUCAGCGUAAUGCCUUUGAGAUUCAUCUGUUCUUCUUUCUUUUUGCAUAAUAUUCUGUGCCAUGGAUAGUCCACAGUUUCCCAUUCACCUAUUGAACAUUUGAAUUGUUUCCAGGUUUUAGUGGUUAUGAAUAGAACAAGUGUAUACAGGUUUUUGUGUGAACAUAGCUUUUCAUUUCUCUUGGGUAAGUAAUAAGAUAUAGCAUUACCAUGUUAUAUGGUAAGUGUAUGUUUAACUUUAUAAGCGAGUGCCAUGUUGUUUUCCCUUGGGCCCGUAUCACUUUGCAGUGCGCUAGUGAGGAAAGCCACACGUGUGAAUUAGACAUUCACCAGUCACCAGGUGCUCUGUAUCCUUGCCAACACUUAUAUUCUCAGUAUUUAACUACUCUAUGGUGUAUAGCAGUGGCUCACUGUGGUUUUAAUUUGCAUUCCCUGAGUAUCUACAGUGUUGACCGGCUUUUCACUGGCUAACUAACCAUCUAUAUAUUCUCUCUGGUAAAGUGUCUGCUCAGAUUUUUGGCUUACUUUAAAAAAAUUGAAUUGCUGGUUUUCUUACUGUUGAAUUUUGAGUUCUUUAUGCAUACUGUAUGUAAGUCCUUUGUUAGUUAUAUGAUUGGUAAAUAUUUUCUCCCAGUUUGUAGAUUAUCUUUUCCUUCUCUUACCAGUGUAUUUUUCAGAGCAGAUCUUUUAAAUUUUGAUGAAGUCCAGUUUACCAGUUUUUUUUUUUUUUCCUCAUGCUUUUGGGCCACGUCUCUGGCCCCAAGUGACCCCAGUUGCAAACAUUUUUGUCUAUUUUCUUCUAAGCAAAUGUUUACAUUUGACUAUUUUCUUCUAGAGGUUACAUUUAGGCCUAUAAUUCAUUUCAAAUUAAUUUUUGUUUAAAGCGUGAGGUUUAGGUCGAAGUUCAUUGAUUUGUGUAUGGAUGUCCAAUUUUUUCUGGCACCGUUUGUUGAAAAAACCAUCCUUUUUCUACUUCAUUGCCUUUGGGCCUUUGUGAAAAAUCAAUUUUCUAUUUUUAUGUGGAACCAUCUCUGGACUCUAUUCCAUUUACCUCUGUGUUUAUUCCUUCAAAAAUACCAUUUAGGAGUUCCUCUUAUGGCUCAGUAGUUAAGAUCCUCACAUAGUGUCCUGACGAUGCAGGCUUGAUCCCUGGCCUCGCCCAGUGGGUUAAGGAACUGGUGUUGCUGCGAGCUGUGGCGUAGGUCACAGAUGUGGCUCGGAUCUGGCACGGCUGUGGCUGUGGCUUAGGCUCCAGCUCCAGCUCGACCCCUAGCCCAGAAACUUCCAUAUGCCGCAGGUGUGCCCCUAAAAAGAAAAAAAGGUACUAUUUAAAGUUGAUUAACUUGAAUUUUAGAGUAAUGCUUAAUGUCAGAUAGUGUGAGCCCUCUAACUUUGUUCUUUUUAAAAUUGUUUUGACUAUUCUGUUUCCUUUGACUUUCCAAAGAAAUUUUAGAAUCAGCUUGUUUUUAUUUAUUAAGUAAUUUUUUGAGAUCUUGAUUGGAAUUGCACUGAACCUUUAGGACAAUUUGGGGAAACAUCUUUGGCUUUCUUUGGUUUCUUGCUAGUUUAGUAGGUUUUCAACAUAUAAACCCAGUACUUGUUUUAUUACCUUUAUACAUACAUAUUUCAUUAUCUGGAGCUAUUAUAAAAUUGUGUUUCCUUUUCCAGUUGUUUCUUGCUAGCACAUAAAAAUCAAUUGAUUUUUCAUGUGAUGACCUUGAAACCUUGCAGAACUCACUUUUAGUUUUAAAAGAUUUUUGGUAGAUUCCAUUUAAUCUUCCACAUAAACAAUCACAUUGUCUGUGAAUAAGAAUAAAUUCAUUUCUCCUUUCGUGAUC